rnacentral:rRNA from 1 species
UACGGGGGGGGCAAGCGUUGUUCGGAAUUACUGGGCGUAAAGGGCUCGUAGGCGGCCAACUAAGUCAGACGUGAAAUCCCUCGGCUUAACCGGGGAACUGCGUCUGAUACUGGAUGGCUUGAGUUCGGGAGAGGGAUGCGGAAUUCCAGGUGUAGCGGUGAAAUGCGUAGAUAUUCGCAAGAACACCAGUGGCGAAGGCGGCUCACUGGCCCGAUACUGACGCUGAGGCACGAAAGCGUGGGGAGCAAACAGG